rnacentral:rRNA from 1 species
GCUGGCGGCGUGCCUAACACAUGCAAGUGGAGCGACGAACCAGACUUCGGUCUGGGGCCAAGCCGCGAACGGGUGAGUAACACGUGGGUAACCUGCCCCGAUGAUCGGGACAACCCGGGGAAACCCGGGCUAAUACCGAAUGUGGUCCCGGCUCUUGAGAGCCGUGACGAAAGGAAGCUUCGGCCUCCGCAUCGGGAGGGGCCCGCGGCCCAUUAGCUAGUUGGUGAGGUAACGGCUUACCAAGGCUUCGAUGGGUAGCUGGUCUGAGAGGACGAUCAGCCACACUGGGACUGAGACACGGCCCAGACUCCUACGGGAGGCAGCAGUGGGGAAUCUUGCGCAAUGCGCGAAAGCGUGACGCAGCAACGCCGCGUGCGGGAAGACGGCCUUCGGGUUGUAAACCGCUUUCAGUUGGGACGAAGCUUCGCCGGUGAAUAGCCGGCUGGAGUAACGGUACCUUCACAAGAAGCCCCGGCUAACUACGUGCCAGCAGCCGCGGUAAUACGUAGGGGGCAAGCGUUGUCCGGAAUCAUUGGGCGUAAAGAGCGUGUAGGCGGCUUCGUCAGUCCGUUGUGAAAGUCCAGGGCUCAACCCUGGAAUGCCGAUGGAUACUGCGGAGC